rnacentral:misc_RNA from 1 species
GUGUUUCCCACGCCCCCGAGUAAGCAGCCGAAAACUUGCGCAUGCGCACACGCCUUCCUCUCUUUGUGCCCUUGCGUUGGUGCGCGCGCAUCGGCGUGUCGCGAUUGGUGCGGCGCUCUUAGUCUUCAUCAGUGACUGGCCGCUACUACCCUUUCGAUCUGUCACCCCGCUUCACUCGUACCCCUCCCCUCCCCCCGCUUGGGGGCGCUCUGCCCUUUCGCCUUCCAGCCUUCCGUCUCGCUUCGCCUCCCUUUCGUGCGUGUGUAGCUUCCUGCGCACUCGCCACGCCCCACCCCUAUUCAUUUGUUCUCUCAUCGUUCUGCUGCUUUCCAUUUCGCCCAGUCCGUCGCGCUUUGGUUGCCACGCUGCGCCGUCUGUCGUCGUCGCUCUUGGCCAUCUCUUCGACUCGACACGUCGCCGUUUCGCACUCUGCUCCUUUUCGGCUGAUGGUUGGAGCUCACUUCCGGGCGCUUGUCUGUUCGGAGCGCUUCGUGUAUGCGUGCGCGUAUGUGUGGUCUGUUCCGUGUUGUCCUCUCCGCCCCUCACUUUCGCUCGUGCUUGGAUGGAGACAGUGCGCGGCACGCUCGCCCAGAACGCGGCGACGCCGACGACGCCUAGCGAUUGUGCCACCUAUCGAUCGCUGCCUAGCUUGAAAAGCAACACCCCUCCUCCGUUACGGAGCGAUUCGGCACGUACGAAAUCGACGGCGGGCCACGGCGCCAAGGCACGGAUCCCGUCGCUGCAUCGAGGUCAGAAUGGCCCGCCAGCCGCGAUGCCAGGCCCCUUCAAUAAGAACUCAGCCCCGCAGGCGCCUGUGGAUGCAGCUCGCAGCUGGCGCACUUCCACUGGGGUGCCUAUCUCCUUUGGAGAGGGUGCCGUCGCUCGACCAGGACCGCAGGGGCCAUCACCUCCGCGGCUGCGGCCCUCUCCCUCCCUGCGCGACACGGCAAUCGAUACGGCCUUCUUGACCGCACACCUUCCCUUCCUCACGGCCGGUGCUGACGCCAUCGAUCGUGGCUCGAGGGACUGGAACACGGAGUUUCAGUGGCUGUGGGAACAGCAGCUGCACGGCGAGGUGUGGGGGUAUACUGGCCACCAAGAAAUGCGCGAUUUUCUUGAGGAGUUCGAGGGCUUCGCUAAGGUGCUGGUGGAGUCGCUAUGGCGGGAGGGACGUCUUCCACCUGCUGUUCGCCCGUCAUCCGUGACGACCAUGUGCGCUCGCUACGGAAAUGUGCUGGUGUACGCGUGGCCCGACGGAAAGCUGGGCAUGUGGAUGCAACGCAGUUUUCGAGUACUGAUGGAGUGCUGCGUGCCGCACCUCUCGCUGCCGCUGACGGCGACUUUCCGCUACUUUGGAGAUGUCGUCACUGUUGCCGCUGCCAUUUCGCUUGAGCGUGCGGGGCCGGCUGAGUACGCAGGAAACGGACGCAGCGAUUCAGUGAUGCACGUGCCCCUGCAGGAGCUUCUGGGUAUGACCCAAGACGCGCUAAACUUGCUUCGCGGUGACCCUCGUGGUGAGGCGACGGGUGGGGCAAGCGACGAGGCGACCACGCCGCAGCAGCGCAAGGUGAGGGGCAUCGAGGUGCGCGAGGGCAUGGACACGCGUCUUUACGUGGUGAACUGUCUUGGCCUUCUGCCGCCGCUCUUUUCCACCGACGGCCGUGUGCUGACGCUGCGGCGGUGGCUUCACUUGAUUCAGCAUCCUCCGAUGCCCUGGGCCAGUAGCGUUGCGUGCGCGGACAUUUACCGCCGUGAGGCGGCUGCAGCUGCUCAGUACCUCAACAGUGCCCUUCAAGCACCGGUAGAGAGACGCAACACACGUCUUGUGCAGCUGCUGCACAAAAGUGGACUUAACGUGUCCUUGCUGGGCCUUGUUGCGCAGACCAUGCUGGCUGCCGCCAAGGAGGAUCUCGAUGACACGUCAGAGCUGGUGCUUCGCCUCAUCGCAGUCGAAGUCCUCGCCCGUGUGGUGCGCCGAUCUUUGGUGCGCUCGAUGGGGCGCGAGGGCAGCGCGCGGUCGCUAAAGGCCGCCAACAGCUACCUUCAGCGCACCGCCAGCUCGCUGUUGCGCACGUCGCAGGAGCGCUUUGAGGAGAGGCUGCUCCCGCUUGUCCGAGACAUGUUCUGGCUCGACGAGGCGAUGGGCACGGAACCGUACGUGCAGCUGCUCAAGCGCACACUGCAACGGCAGGUGGUGCUUAUCACGAAGCGUUUAUGUGAGCUGUGCGGGCUUCGAGUGGUGCGGGGCAGCGUAGCGGAGAUCAUGUGCCAGCCUUCGCACCACAACUACAGCUCCUUCUACUCCGCAGAGCACCAGGCACUGAUAGCGACGUUGGCGCAGGACGAGUCGGAGUAUCCGCCGGCCUUCAAAACCGCCUAUCUCCUCCCACUGCGCAUCCGCUUUUACUGCCGUGGCGGUCGCCUCGCCGAGGCGUGGCGCGAGACGACGCAGCUGGUGGAGUUGCGCAGCCGCCUCACGUCGGAGCGCUUCCUCAACGCAGAGACGUGGACGACAGCCGCGCUAGUAGCUGCCCAGGUCGGCAGAGAGGAGGACAGUGCGGACCUCAUCGAGCACGCCACCCGCGUAUUCUUCGACAUCCCAGCCUUUCUCCUCCAGCCGACCGCGCCGCUGGUGCGAAUGCCGUCCUACUUGUACUUCCUCCAAGGGCAGGCGCACGCUAAACUCGCGCAUGGGUUCAUCUGCAUUCAGCGACAGCUCUUUGACGAAGCCGAGGAGCUGUUUACAGCGGUACUGCGCCUGCCGGACGUGCUCGAGGAUGAACGACAGUCACAUGCUGCGCAUUUUCGCCAACAGGCUGUCGUCGGUCUGCUCAGAAUCGCCGUGCACUCCGAAAAGGCAAAGGUCAUGCAGCUCGACGCGCAGUGGAGCACUGAGCUGCGCUCUAUGGCCCCUUCGCUGCAAGGUGCCCGCAUCAGCGAGCUCUUUGGGUCUCUGCUCUUCGAUCGGGACAUGUUUCCUAGCGCCGUGGCGAGACUUUGGGAGUGCCUCGAGACAACUGAGCAACUCCUUGGCGCGACGGCUCUCCGCGUGGGCGAGGUGCUCAACAAGCUGGCCUACGUCUACUACCGCUGGGACGUGCAGCAGUAUGGCCUCUUCUGCAGCUGCAUUCUCCACCGAGCCGAGGCCAUCAUGGUGGAGCGGAGUGGACUGUACUCGCCACUGCAUCUCAGCAUUGCCGAGAACAUCGCGUCCGUCUUCAUUCUGCGCGGCAUGUUUGUUGCGGCGUCGCAACGGCUGCACCUAUUGAGCACCCUCCCGCCUCGAUACACAGGACGCCUCUCGCGCGAGCACCCCGCCAUCAUACGCAUCGCCGUCAUCAAAGCCAAACUCCGGCGUGAGUUCGGCAACAUCGCGAUCGUCAUUAUUCAGCGAUACUGGCGCGAAUACCGCAGCCGCGCUAUCCUGCGCGACGUCUGCGAGAGCAGCGCGCAAGAGGUACAGCGGCUGGGACGGGCAUAUCUCGUGCGGCGCGCGCUGCUGCAUCUCUGUCACGGCCACGCCACUGCUGACGGCAUCGCACUAGCGGCGCAACACUACGCCAUGCGCAGCUUCUCGCGGCCGCUGAUCUGCGCCUCCGCCCUCUUUUCGAAAGAGCAGCGACACUGGAAUUCAGAGCUGCAGCACUCUUGCCUCUUUGCGAUCUGGUGGGAGCAUGUGGAGCAGCAGGUGCAACUCGAUGAGCGGCAGAGGCUCGUAGCGGAGUUUGAGGCGGCCGCGAGGUCAUGCCUGCGGGGAAUGCGUAGCGGCACUGUUUCCGGUGUGCGGGUCCCGGGGUGCAGCACGUCGUUUGUGAUGCAGAACAUGGUAUUCACGCAGGUUCCAGCGGGCCAUCGACUCUCUGCGCUGCAGCUGCGAUUGACUCAACACCUGCGCUGCAACUCUCCAUGCCUCCUGACGGUGCCGCUGAGCAUCUUGGUCGAGUUCGCCGACUGCGCCUACUACGCUGAGGCGCUCAUCCCUCUGCACCAUCGCCCGCGCAUUGCUUUCACCGUUGAUGGCCACAGCAGUGGCCCACACGCCGCCACAGCGAGGUCAAUCGUGAGCUACAUGAUGCGCCAGUACCGCGACGCCGGCCUGACGACGUACCGUGCCGACAACUGCCAAUGUGUCGAGAUCGUGUCUGGUGCCGAUGGGCUUCUUUACCUCACCAAUUCUCUGGGCCUGGUCAGCUCACUAGUGCAUCAGCAGCCAACGAUGGAUGUGCCAACGCUGGCGUUGCCGCUCAGCAUCUUCUUCCUCGCCCGGGAGAAAUGCAACGCCGGAAACGCGAAGGAGGCGGUCGAUAUGCUGGAGCGUGCGCUGCUUUCGCAAGGCUCAGACGAGUACGGACUCUUGGGCAUCUACUUCCUCUCCUACCUUGCCUCGGCGCGCUUCGCCAGCGGAGACGACCUCGACGGAGCCACGCGUCUCUUCCAGCGGUGCUCGACGGGACUCGAGGAAAACACCGCAGCUUUCCUCGCUGCGCACAUACUUUACACGGAGGGCCGCGCGUGGCUCAGCCGCGGCGACACGACAGCUGCUUUGGGUCCGCUGCUGCGCUCGCUAAACAUCUACGCCGAGCGCAUCCGCCUGCACGCCUACUACGGCGCCUUCUGCAUCUUCGAAGUCGCCCUCUGGGUGCUGCGGACCAACGUAGUGUGGGGGUCAAAGGUGGAUGUGGCGGUGCUGCACUGCGUCGCUCACGCCGUAGAGUUCGGCGAGCCGACACUGUCUCUCUUCUUAACCUGCGGGCGUUUUAUCUUGUACACGCAAAAGGUGGGUGACACCGCCAUGUCGCAGCAGCUGAUCCAUCUACGCGAUUCCCGGGCGAGGGAGCUGCAGCCCGUUGAGCUGGACCGGUACUUGCACGUGCUCCUACAGCGCAGCGAAAGCCUGCAGCGGCUCGGUGGCAACGAGAGCUACAGCAACUGCGUCUUCGUGCACCAGACGGCGAUCCACAUGGCAGAAGCCGCACACAGCGAGUCACGGAUGCUUGGCGUGCUGCUUACCAGCUAUGGACUGCUGCUGACGAAAAUGAACAGGCUGAAGGAAGCGCGGCGCGUGCUCAGCCGCGCCAACGCGGUUCUUCUCAAGACGGUGGCUCCAACCAGCCCGGAGGCGAUGACGUGGCGCAAGAACAACCGGACCCUCAAGCACCGGAUGCAAGACAACGCAGUCGCUGUAAUACGACGCGCUGUGCGCCUCUGGAAAGAGCGGCGGCGACUCGAGCGGGAUAUGCGCGCAGAGAAUCCGGCGGCGUACCAGGCUUUGCAGGCAGUGCGCUUCAUGCGGCGAAUCAAGAGUCUCGUCGUUUCUGAGGCAACCGCCCGCGUACUCAUCGCGGACUCGCACGCCGACGAAUGCUACCGUUUACAGAAAAGGAAAGGACGUAUGCGCAACGACGCAAUGCUGAAGCAGACGUAUGGUUCACGCGUGCAGAUCUUCCUUGACAAACUCGGCACUGCCCUCAUCGACGUUGAUAAUCUGGCGCUUGCGACAAAGGCAGUGAUGGCUGGCGCCGCCAAUAAUAUGCGUCAGUCCAUGCUGUGCGCCUUCCUUGUGGCUAGCCACCGCAUAGAGCGUCGUGGCGUCAUCGGUAAAUGGCGGGCUAGUCUCCUCGCGGUAAAACUAUGGCAUCUGGAAUACGUCGAUGCAGUCAUUCGCGUCGAGUUUUUUGGCGCUUUUCGCGCCUUCAUGGGACGCUGCGUGGCAGCUGAGGAGCGCGCCUGGCGGCGCAUCAUUACAGGAAACCAAAAGAAGUCGAAACAAGAGCUGGGCAAGACGAUUGGCCGGGCACUGCGUCGUAAGCCAAAGAGCAUACCAUUCAUCGAUAUCUGUGCCGUUCUCCUUAACGAGGCCCGCAGGCGCGAGUGCAUCCUCGCCCGAGAGGAAGAAGACUACCGCACGCUAAUGGACGUAUUCACGCUCGGUCCCGAGGUCGAUGAUGACGAGGAGGUGGGCGUCGAGGCAUCGCUGCAGUACACAGCGAUGAACGCAUUGACGGGAGGUAUUUGAUAGUUUGUAUGGUGCUUAGCUCGUUACAGAACUUCGUUGUCUCGCCGCAGGAUACGUGGCGACUGCCUCUCCGCCUUCCUCUACUCCCCUUUCGCCUUCCCGUUCGCAGACGCGUUGAGUCGACGGUGCCGCGAUGUUUGGUUGGCGUUUACACCACGAAAGGAGCACACGCAUCUUUUUAUUGCUAUUCUUUCGAUGCGAGCAGCCGCCUCCAUCUGUGCGGCCGUUUUCUCGGUUCUGUUCUACCGCAAACUCUUGCAGAUAGCCCCUUACAGCAGAUGCCGAGAGGAGCAGAAUGCCAACACUGAAAACACAGCAAGGCGCCGUGGGGCUUAUGGCAGACACGCCUAGGCUGUGCGCACGGUACCGUUCACUGUUCUUCACCUUUUCAAACUGCCAAAGGCACGUGCAUCCCUGACGCGUAGCGGGGGAGGGGGUUAUGAACUCAGUACGAGCUCAUCAUCGCCCCCUCUCCUUUCCGAGUUGAUGGGCAUAAAACGUUGCAUUCACAUGCACCCUCACUCUGGCAGGUGUUGCUCACACACAUACACACACAACACGCAUGAGCCCAUUUCUCCCGGUGUUUUCACUCCUGUCGCACGUCGCUCUCAUUCGAACACACACCCACCGAAGCGUUCUCUCGUGCGCUUGCCUGUGUGUCUCUGUUUUUGUUCGUGUGCGGAAAGGGCCUCGGCACCAUUUCAGGCACCUGCCAGCCGUCCACAGAGUGAGCGGCAGCGCAGAGACACACAGGAAGCAAACAAAAGAAGAAAACGAAAACGUGCACACCAUCUCUCGCCUUUCUUGCGGCUGUGCCCGCGUGAGGCGUUGGCGAGAAGUAUUGCACUUGUAAGGCUCCUAAAGAAGCUCUUGAGGCACCGCCCUUCGCGACUCUUUUUCUCGCUGUUUUUCUGUAUGCACUGCUGCCUCUCGCCCCCCACCUCCCCCACACACCGCCUCCAUUUUCACACCUCCCUUCCUCCCUCCAUCUGGAGGCCACCUCUGCCUUUCGACUUCAUCUUCCGUCCGUGGUACACAG